AACUAAUCUCACAUCCCCAAACACAAAAGUGUUUUAAGAAAGAAGAAAUUCUUUCCAAUUCUGACAUUCGUCAAAAGUUAGUAAAUACUCAGAACGUGUCAGCUUCUCAGGUUGAUGUAGCUGUGAAAAUUAAUAAGAAAGUUGUGCCCCUGAACUUUUCUGAGUUCUUUAGCUAAACGAAUAAAGCAGUUACAUCAUGAAGCACAGCAAAGUGAAGGGGAACAGAAUUACAGGAAGUUUAGGGCAAGGAUUUGUCCUGGAGAAAAUCAAGCAGCCGAAGAUGAACUAAGAAAAGAGAUAAGCUCAGACCACCAGGUGAGAACCAGAAAACGUCCAUGGCUGCUUUAACAGAGCCAUUUCUUGUCGUCACCGCGCUGAUACUGCGGAAAAUCCAUUUUCACCGGAUUUAAUUGUGUGGAACUGAGAAUGACAGUGUCAAUUUCUCGUGUGAAGUAAAACGAUGUUUGCAGAAAUGGAAAUCAUUGGUCAGUUUAACCUGGGAUUUAUAAUAACCAAACUGAAUGAGGAUAUCUUCAUAGUGGACCAGCAUGCCACGGACGAGAAGUAUAACUUCGAGAUGCUGCAGCAGCACACCGUGCUCCAGGGGCAGAGGCUCAUAGCACCUCAGACUCUCAACUUAACUGCUGUUAAUGAAGCUGUUCUGAUAGAAAAUCUGGAAAUAUUUAGAAAGAAUGGCUUCGAUUUUGUUAUCGAUGAAAAUGCUCCAGUCACUGAAAGGGCUAAACUGAUUUCCUUGCCAACUAGUAAAAGCUGGACCUUCGGACCCCAGGA
rnacentral:lncRNA from 1 species